CACAUUGUUUUCUCAUUUCGCUCCGAAGCUGAGCGGCUGAAGAAGAAGUGGGAGGAGGAAGAGGAGGAGAGACUGAAGCAGAUCCCAGUGCACGUUGAACCGAAAAAGUGUCCUCCUCUGGGCCUGGAGUCUCACCGGGUUGAAGAUGACCAGCUGCUGGCUUCCUCUCAGUCUCACCAUGGCUUCACGGUUCAGAGAGGACGCCUCAACAUGCAGGGCUCCGACGAUGACAAUGACCUGAACGGCGGCGGUUGGUGCGCAGAUCCAGAGGACAAAACCCACUGGUUCGAGGUUGAUGCCCGCAGAGAGGUGGAGUUCACCGGGGUCAUCACUCAGGGAAGAAACUCGGAGAAAGAGUGAGUUGGGUGAUAAUUGCCUGCGGAUCCAUGACCUCGAGUGACUUCGUUAACAUUACACAGUUAUUGGAUCUAAUGUUGAUAUAGAGAUUCUGAUUACUGCAGCUUGUCUUUCCAACUGUGUAAUGAAGUUAAGUAUUUGGGUCAUGUCAUAAAUGAUUGUCCUAUGACGAGGAUAUCU